GACGAACGCUGGCGGCGUGCUUAACACAUGCAAGUCGAACGGAAAGGCCCUGCUUUUGUGGGGUGCUCGAGUGGCGAACGGGUGAGUAACACGUGAGUAACCUGCCCUUGACUUUGGGAUAACUUCAGGAAACUGGGGCUAAUACCGGAUAGGAGCUCCUGCUGCAUGGUGGGGGUUGGAAAGUUUCGGCGGUUGGGGAUGGACUCGCGGCUUAUCAGCUUGUUGGUGGGGUAGUGGCUUACCAAGGCUGUGACGGGUAGCCGGCCUGAGAGGGUGGACGGCCACAUUGGGACUGCGAUACGGCCCAGUCUCCUACGGGAGGCAGCAGUGGGGAAUAUGGCACAAUGGGCGGACGCCUGAUGCAGCAACGCCGCGUGCGGGAUGACGGCCUUCGGGUUGUAAACCGCUUUCGCCUGUGACGAAGCGUGAGUGACGGUAAUGGGUAAAGAAGCACCGGCUAACUACGUG
rnacentral:rRNA from 1 species